UACGAAGGGGGCGAGCGUUGUUCGGAAUUACUGGGCGUAAAGGGCGCGCAGGCGGCCUUAGAAGUCAGAUGUGAAAGCCCCGGGCUCAACCCGUGGAAUGGCAUUUGAUACUCUGAGGCUGGAGUACGGGAGAGGAGAGUGGAAUUCCCGGUGUAGAGGUGAAAUUCGUAGAUAUUGGGAAGAACACCGGUGGCGAAGGCGGCUCUCUGGACCGUAACUGACGCUGAGGCGCGAAAGCGUGGGGAGCAA
rnacentral:rRNA from 1 species